GCCUGCCUCGGCCACCAGCACCCUCAGGUCCCCAUAUUCUACUUUUAUCCAGCUCAGGAGCCGCCGCAGGUCUGGAGUUACAGUUUGUCCAUGGUGGAUCAGAUCUCGGCCCAGACGGAGAUUAUUGGGCCCAAACGACAGAGCAAAAAAAUCUGCAGUUUUCUUCACCCAAAGUUUCUCCUCAGGCGUGAACGAGGGCAGGAGGUGGCCAUACUUCUUUCUCAGAGAGUCAGGAUAGUUCCCCUCACCGAAAAUGGGACCGGCAAACCAGCCAAGAACAGCCUCUAUUGACUGCUGGCAAAGCUCAACGCUGGCAGUGGUGGCUUCACCUCUUUGGGGUUCAACCCAGUGGGACCCUAAAACUAUAGACACUUUACCUUUUUGAGUUGCCCGGAAGUGAGAGUCAUAGAUGUGCCAUGCUCUGGCAUGAGCCUGAAAGGAAAUUACAGAACUUGUUACAUUCAGAUGUCUACAGAACAAAGUACAAAUCAAUUUAUGGCCAAAUAUCUGCGAAAAAAAAAAAAAAA